UACGGGGGGGGCAAGCGUUGUUCGGAAUUACUGGGCGUAAAGGGCUCGUAGGCGGCCAACUAAGUCAGACGUGAAAUCCCUCGGCUUAACCGGGGAACUGCGUCUGAUACUGGAUGGCUUGAGUUUGGGAGAGGGAUGCGGAAUUCCAGGUGUAGCGGUGAAAUGCGCAGAUAUCAGGAAGAACACCUAUGGCGAAGGCAGCUCUCUGGGACGGUACUGACGCUGAGACGCGAAAGCGUGGGGAGCGAACAGG
rnacentral:rRNA from 1 species